UAUAUUGCUGCAGACAUUAACAUUUGAAAAGAUGGAAAAUUGAAACACUCAAGACUAAGGACCAACCAAAAGAGAAAAGGAAUCAGUCUCACCAAAUAGCAAUGAAAUUUCCAUAAGAGCCAAUAAGGAGGUGGCCAUCCAAUGGGGCAAAAAUAAUGAAAAAGCAUUCAGGCAAGGGUAGCCAAUAAAUCCAACAUCAUCAACAACAAUGCAGGGUACUGUUUCCUGCCCUCAAAUUGGGCAUAGCCUACCAUUAGUGUUUG
rnacentral:misc_RNA from 1 species